GAUGAGCGCUGGCGCCGUGCUUAACACAUGCAAGUCGAGCGAAGCACUUAAGAAUGAUUCUUCGGAUGAGCUCUUUUGUGACUGAGCGGCGGACGGGUGAGUAACGCGUGGGUAACCUGCCUCAUACAGGGGGAUAACAGAUAGAAAUGAAUGCUAAUACCGCAUAAGCGCACAGUGCCGCAUGGCACCGUGUGAAAAACUCCGGUGGUAUGAGAUGGACCCGCGUUGGAUUAGCCAGUGGGCGGGUUAACGGCCCACCAAACCGACGAUCCAUAGCCGGACUGAGAGGGUGUACGGCCACAUUGGGACUGAGACACGGACCAAACUCCUACGGGAGGCAGCAGUGGGGAAUAUUGCACAAUGGGGGAAACCCUGAUGCAGCGACGCCGCGUGAGUGAAGAAGUAAUUCGUUAUGUAAAGCUCUAUCAGCAGGGAAGAAAAUGACGUUACCUGACUAAGAAGCCCCGGCUAACUACGUGCCAGCAGCCGCCGUAACAC
rnacentral:rRNA from 1 species